CGGGGCGUAGCUCAAUGGUAGAGCAGCCGGCUUAUACCCGGUGUUAACGGCUGAUUACCGUAAGGAUGUAGGUUCAAGUCUUGCCGCCCCGA
rnacentral:tRNA from 1 species